rnacentral:tRNA from 1 species
CAGCAUUUAGUUUAUUUAAAAUUUAAAUUUUGGGGAUUUAAGAAAUGUUAAUUCAUUUUGCUGA